rnacentral:rRNA from 1 species
CAAUAGCGUAUAUUAAAGUUGUUGUGGUUAAAAAGCUCGUAGUUGGAUCUCGGCGGUCUGAGGGCGGUUCGCUUCAGAGCGCUACUGCCCUAUAGACCGUAGUUUUGCCAGAGGUCUCAGGGUGCUCUUAACCGAGUGUCUUGCGAUGCUGGCAGGUUUACUUUGAAAAAUUAGAGUGUUCAAAGCAGGCCUCGGCAGCCUGAAUAAUGGUGCAUGGAAUAAUGGAAUAGGACCUCGGUUCUAUUUUGUUGGUUUUCGGAACGGAGGUAAUGAUUAACAGGGACAAACGGGGGCAUUCGUAUUGCGGCGUUAGAGGUGAAAUUCUUGGAUCGCCGCAAGACGAGCUACUGCGAAAGCAUUUGUCAAGAAUGUUUUCAUUAGUCAAGAACGAAAGUCAGAGGCGCGAAGACGAUCAGAUACCAU